AUUGAACGCUGGCGGCAGGCCUAACACAUGCAAGUCGAGCGGAUGCAGGGAGCUUGCUCCUGGAUUCAGCGGCGGACGGGUGAGUAAUGCCUAGGAAUCUGCCUGGUAGUGGGGGAUAACGUCCGGAAACGGGCGCUAAUACCGCAUACGUCCUGAGGGAGAAAGUGGGGGAUCUUCGGACCUCACGCUAUCAGAUGAGCCUAGGUCGGAUUAGCUAGUUGGUGGGGUAAAGGCCUACCAAGGCGACGAUCCGUAACUGGUCUGAGAGGAUGAUCAGUCACACUGGAACUGAGACACGGUCCAGACUCCUACGGGAGGCAGCAGUGGGGAAUAUUGGACAAUGGGCGAAAGCCUGAUCCAGCCAUGCCGCGUGUGUGAAGAAGGUCUUCGGACUGUAAAGCACUUUAAGUUGGGAGGAAGGGCAGUAAGUUAAUACCUUGCUGUUUUGACGUUACCAACAGAAUAAGCACCGGCUAACUUCGUG
rnacentral:rRNA from 1 species